rnacentral:rRNA from 1 species
AAAGAAAGCGUAAUAGCUCACUGGUCGAGUCGGCCUGCGCGGAAGAUGUAACGGGGCUAAACCAUGCACCGAAGCUGCGGCAGCGACGCUUAUGCGUUGUUGGGUAGGGGAGCGUUCUGUAAGCCUGUGAAGGUGUACUGUGAGGUAUGCUGGAGGUAUCAGAAGUGCGAAUGCUGACAUAAGUAACGAUAAAGCGGGUGAAAAGCCCGCUCGCCGGAAGACCAAGGGUUCCUGUCCAACGUUAAUCGGGGCAGGGUGAGUCGACCCCUAAGG